CUAGAAGCACUGUGGGCAAGAACAAGCUGACUGGAGUUUUGGGUUCCUGAUGCCAAAGGUCUGACCUUACAAUGAGCAACACACGGGGUGAGAUCGGGCACUGCACUGAGCUUCACACACAGCUAUUUUGAUCAUAAACGCAGAUUUGCAGAACUCUUUGUCUGCAGGACAGACUCAGCCUGGCUUAUUACCACACCACUGCCUUCGCUAAUGCACAUACUACCAGCUCUGAUGGACUGGGACCACCACUGCUGGAUCCUGCCAACAACCAGGGAACAAGCGCAAGCCAGCAGAGAAAAUGAACGAGCAGAAGUACCAGGAUCCUGUGCCAUCCUAUCCUCUGCUGUCAGGUUGGGGUCACAACUGCCAUUUGGAAAAGCAACUUCCAUGGAGAUGUGAACGGAAUAUGAUUACAACUCUGCCAGUUACACAGGAUGUUUGAAACCAUGCAGUCAUUUCCAUUCUGGAUUUCGUGAGGAUUUAUUCUUGUCUGAGUGAUGAAUCAUCCAUACAACCCUCUGUGGAUUCCGUUUUGUUCCACUGGGAAGAUUCCCCCUAGCCCAGCCACAGUGGAGGAAGGCUUGCAGAGCCACUUCACAGACAGAACAGCUGUAUUUUGAGGGGUUCUCCAAAGCAGUCAGGACCCUGCUCUUGUGGAGCUCUCGAAAAUGCUUUUGAACCGGCAUGAGAAAUCACCUGGGACCCAGAGCAGAGCACAGGGCGCAUAGGACAGUAUUUCCUCUGUGCCUUUUUUGCUGAGCAGAACUGCUGCACUAUAAACAAAUGUGAGUUUUGCCUCAUUCUUAGAUAGUGUGAGUUAUGAAAGCCCACUCCAGACAUAAUGAAUGUAUAGAUCAUUUUGACCAGAUCAUAAUCUAUAAGUAAAUAAUGUUCUCUGAAAACGUAUAGGUGAAAUAAAGAACUUGCUACU
rnacentral:lncRNA from 7 species